GUGCGAAGCGCCCGAAGCCGCGAGGCGACGGGCGUUCUCGCCGGAUGUAGGAACCGACCCGGGGACCGCCGGGGCAACCCGGCGCCCCCGAGACGGGGCGAACCACGGUGAAAUGACGGAUCGUCGGCCCCGCGCCGGCGACUCGCCGAAUGAGUUUCUGACCUAUCAACUCGAGACGGCGGGGUAGAGGCCCGCCGCGGUAACGACGGGUAACGGGGAAUCAGGGUUCGAUUCCGGAGAGGGAGCCCGAGAAACGGCUACCACUUCCAAGGAAGGCAGCAGGCGCGCAACUUACCCCUAAUCUCGAAUUCGAGGAGGUAGUGACAAGAAAUACCGAUGCGGGACCCUACGGGGUGCCCGACGUUCGGAAUGAGUACGAUUCGAACCACCUAACGAGGAACGAUUCGGAGGGCAAGUCUAGGUGCCAGCAG
rnacentral:rRNA from 1 species